rnacentral:tRNA from 1 species
CCGCCCAUAGCUCAGUCGGUAGAGCACUCGCCUUUUAAGCGAUUGGUCGCAGGUUCGAAUCCUGCUGGGCGGA